UGUCGCAGCUGUAUCAAUUUAUGAGUUUUUGCCGAGACUGUGAGAGUUUUGCGGCUGAAUUUUGUGCCGGAUGAUGCGUGCUGUCUUUUAUCAUUGAGACAUUGAAAGUGGAAGUGUGUAUGCUUAAAAAAAACGAGGGGAUGAUGGUGCUAACUCGUUUAAAUAUAUAUUUAUUGGGGAAUUUAGUGUUUGCGGUUACAGACACAUUAUCACCGGAGUAAAACGGCUGCUCAUAAAUUAUUCUCUCAUUUAAAAAUUACUUAAUCUUUCUUCUCAGUAUUAUUAUUUGGCACACAUGUUGUAUUCGCUCACGGUUGUGCUAGUUUUGCUUUUGCGCUUGUAUUGCUUUCACCAUUACUGUUAUUGUUACGGUUGAUUGUUAAUGCUGUUAUAGACGCUGUUAUCAGUGUACCAUCGCCACUUGCCAGGCUCCACCCGUGGCUGUACCUAUACCUUCACCUGCUUCGUGCUUUGCAGAUAGGUUCCCAAGGGUUUUCUAACUUUAGACUACACAAACACAGGUAAAUAUCCCAGAGCCUCCUUGCAUUCUUAAGUCUAAAAUGUAUUAUCUAGUGGUUUUAAGAAUGUGAGUGACGGUUGGGAUAAAAAAAAAAAAAAAAAAACUGAAAAUAAUGGAAGAGAAAAAUAUCCGAAGUGGUCACCCCUUCUGUCGCGCGGGCUCGGGGUUUGACGCAACGUUCCGGGCCAGUCGUCUAUCGUCUCUGAGUAUGUAAGGAACCGCUCUGCGUUGCUCCCGGAACACUUAUUGGAGUGCGUUAGUGACCUCAAAGUGGUCUCAACAUUACGACGGACGAGUUAAAACCAUGAAACGUCUGAAAAAAAAUUCAAGAAGAGUAUUGCUGGUCGAAAGGUAGAACCAGCCUUAGGUGUGUGUACAGUGAAAGAAUUGUUUUGUGUCGCCGUGCCUGCCUCGUUUAGCCAGUCCCUCAGUGCACUUGAGGGGGACGUCCCAGAG